ensembl:snRNA U6 U6 spliceosomal RNA
GUGCUCGCUUCGGCAGCACAUAUACUAAAAUUGGAACGAUACAGAGAAGAUUAGCAUGGCCCCUGCACAAGGAUGACAUGAAGUGUUCCAUAUUUUG